rnacentral:misc_RNA from 1 species
GAUGAAGAACGCAGCGAAAUGCGUUAAGUAGUGUGAAUUGCAGAAUUCAGUGAAUCAUCGAAUCUUUGAACGCACAUUGCGCCCCUUGGUAUCCCGAGGGGCAUGCCUGUUCGAGCGUCAUUUCACCACUCAAGCCUGGCUUGGUGUUGGGCGACGUCCUCUUUGGGGACGCGCCUCGAAACGCUCGGCGGCGUGGCACCGGCUUUAAGCGUAGCAGAAUCUUUCGCUUUGGAAGUCGGGGCCCCGUCUGCCGGAAGACCUGCUCGCAAGGUUGACCUCGGAUCAGGCAGGGAUACCCGCUGAACUUAAGCAUAUCAAUAAGCGGAGGA